GGAGAGUUUGAUCAUGGCUCAGAUUGAACGCUGGCGGCAGGCCUAACACAUGCAAGUCGACCGGUAACAGGGGUAGCUUGCUACCCGCUGACGAGCGGCGGACGGGUGAGUAAUGCAUAGGAAUCUGCCCGAUAGUGGGGGAUAACCUGGGGAAACCCAGGCUAAUACCGCAUACGUCCUACGGGAGAAAGGGGGCUUCGGCUCCCGCUAUUGGAUGAGCCUAUGUCGGAUUAGCUAGUUGGUGAGGUAAUGGCUCACCAAGGCAACGAUCCGUAGCUGGUCUGAGAGGAUGAUCAGCCACAUCGGGACUGAGACACGGCCCGAACUCCUACGGGAGGCAGCAGUGGGGAAUAUUGGACAAUGGGGGCAACCCUGAUCCAGCCAUGCCGCGUGUGUGAAGAAGGCCCUCGGGUUGUAAAGCACUUUCAGCGAGGAAGAACGCCUAUCGGUUAAUACCCGGUAGGAAAGACAUCACUCGCAGAAGAAGCACCGGCUAACCCCGUGCCAGCAGCCGCGGUAAUACGGAGGGUGCAAGCGUUAAUCGGAAUUACUGGGCGUAAAGCGCGCGUAGGUGGCUUGAUAAGCCGGUUGUGAAAGCCCCGGGCUCAACCUGGGAACGGCAUCCGGAACUGUCAGGCUAGAGUGCAGGAGAGGAAGGUAGAAUUCCCGGUGUAGCGGUGAAAUGCGUAGAGAUCGGGAGGAAUACCAGUGGCGAAGGCGGCCUUCUGGACUGACACUGACACUGAGGUGCGAAAGCGGGGGUNGCAAACAGGAUUAGAUACCCUGG
rnacentral:rRNA from 1 species